UACCAGCACCCCGAGUGGUCGGGACGAUUAUUGGGCCUAAAGCAUCCGUAGCCGGUCCUGCAAGUCUUCCGUUAAAUCCAGCUGCUCAACAGAUGGGCUGCGGGAGAUACUACAGGGCUAGGAGGCGGGAGAGGCAAGCGGUACUUUAUGGGUAGGGGUAAAAUCCGCUGAUCCAUAGAAGACCACCAGUGGCGAAGGCGGCUUGCCAGAACGCGCUCGACGGUGAGGGAUGAAAGCUGGGGGAGCAAACCGU
rnacentral:rRNA from 1 species